UACGGAGGGUGCGAGCGUUGUCCGGAAUCAUUGGGCGUAAAGGGCGCGUAGGUGGCUUCUUAAGCGUGCGGUGAAAGCCUGGGGCUCAACCCCGGGUCGGCCGUGCGAACUGGGGGGCUGGAGCACUGUAGAGGCAGGCGGAAGUUCCGGGUGUAGCGGUGGAAUGCGUAGAGAUCCGGAAGAACGACCGGUGGCGAAGGCGGCCUGCUGGGCAGUUGCUGGACACUGAGGCGCGACAGCGUGGGGAGCAACAGG
rnacentral:rRNA from 1 species